rnacentral:tRNA from 3 species
UCUUUAAUAGUUCAAAGGUGGAACGCAUGACUGUUAAUCAUGAAGUUAUAGGUUCGAGUCCUAUUUAAAGAG